AGGAAACCUCCAAGACAAAUUCAUCGGACAUCUCGUCUGUGAAUUCACCGUGUUCCCAGAUCUCAACCAGGUGGGGGUGUGUCAGCAGACUCCAGCGGGUCCAGGUUGAAGACUUCAUCAGUCCGGACGUAGGGAAUGUACUCCAGGGCCGGAGGAGGAAGAGGGCCGGAGGCCUGCUGAGUCUGCACUCUGAGUCUGAC